rnacentral:rRNA from 1 species
UGUCUACUAGUUGUCGGGUUUUAAUUAACUUGGUAACGCAGCUAACGCGUGAAGUAGACCGCCUGGGGAGUACGGUCGCAAGAUUAAAACUCAAAGGAAUUGACGGGGACCCGCACAAGCGGUGGAUGAUGUGGAUUAAUUCGAUGCAACGCGAAAAACCUUACCUACCCUUGACAUGUACGGAAGCCACGAGAGAUCGAGGUGUGCUCGAAAGAGAGCCGUAACACAGGUGCUGCAUGGCUGUCGUCAGCUCGUGUCGUGAGAUGUUGGGUUAAGUCCCGCAACGAGCGCAACCCUUGUCAUUAGUUGCUACAUUCAGUUGAGCACUCUAAUGAGACUGCCGGUGACAAACCGGAGGAAGGUGGGGAUGACGUCAAGUCCUCAUGGCCCUUAUGGGUAGGGCUUCACACGUCAUACAAUGGUACAUACAGAGGGCCGCCAACCCGCGAGGGGGAGCUAAUCCCAGAAAGUGUAUCGUAGUCCGGAUCGCAGGCUGCAACUCGCCUACGUGAAG